rnacentral:lncRNA from 1 species
UGAAAUGUGGGAUUUAUGGAUGUAAGGAUGGAAUGAAUCUCAUGGCAUGGAAAAUGGAAGUGUAUGGAGAUGUGUUUGAAUUUAUGGAUGAAAUGGAAUGGAGCUCACGGCAAGGUACUUGUGUUUGUGAAUGAAGCUCUUUUUUGAUGGAUCAAGAUGGUUUUUCUUAGGAAUGGGAAUGGUGGAUGCAUUUAUAGGCUAGUAUGAGGACCACUCCAUUUCCUUUGCAUGUGCAGUUUGCAUGGGUGUGUGUUGUCCAUGUUUCCUUUUACAUUUGUACACACAUGCACUCAUCAUUUCAGCCACAAAUCACUACACUUUAUGCCCAUGCCGUGUGUCUUUCUUUCCCUUUGCAUGUAUUUGUUCCAUGUUCUUGUGGCAGAAAUGUUAAGUAAUGAUGAAGGGUUGCUGCUGAACAAGUGUGAAGGAUGGUGCUCAAGGCCUCUUUGCAUGUGUCAUUGCUGUCAUGUUAUCAUUAUUUCCACUUCUUCAUUCUUCAUUUUCUGAUUUCCUGCUGCCCAUGUGCCUUCAUUCUACAUUUC